rnacentral:rRNA from 1 species
GACCAACGCUGGCGGUAUGCCUAACACAUGCAAGUCGAACGGACAGACCAGGGAAGCUUUUCGGAGUGGAACUGGAAAGUUAGUGGCGGAUGGGUGAGUAACGCGUGGACAACCUACCUUGUAAAGGGGAAUAACCUCGAGAAAUCGAAGCUAAUACCCCAUAAUAACCUUGCUUCGCAUGAAGUAAGGAGGAAAGGCGGCCUUAGCGCUGUCGAUACAAGAUGGGUCCGCGUCUGAUUAGCUAGUUGGUGAGGUAAAGGCUCACCAAGGCGACGAUCAGUAGCCGGCCUGAGAGGGUGAACGGCCACAUUGGGACUGAGACACGGCCCAAGCUCCUACGGGAGGCAGCAGUGGGGAAUCUUCCGCAAUGGGCGAAAGCCUGACGGAGCAAUGCCGCGUGAGUGAAGAAGGCCUUCGGGUUGUAAAACUCUGUCCUUAUCGAAGAGAGAGUGUUGUAGUAACUGACAAUACUAGGACGGUAGAUGAGGAGGAAGCCCCGGCUAACUAUGUG